CAGUAGCCGCGGGAAUACGUAGGGUGCGAGCGUUAAUCGGAAUUACUGGGCGUAAAGCGUGCGCAGGCGGUUAUAUAAGACAGAUGUGAAAUCCCCGGGCUCAACCUGGGACCUGCAUUCGUGACUGUAUAGCUAGAGUACGGUAGAGGGGGAUGGAAUUCCGCGUGUAGCAGUGAAAUGCGUAGAUAUGCGGAGGAACACCGAUGGCGAAGGCAAUCCCCUGGACCUGUACUGACGCUCAUGCACGAAAGCGUGGGGAGCAAACAGGAUUAGAUACCCCCGUAGUCCCUGUCUCUUAUAA
rnacentral:rRNA from 1 species